CAGCACCUCAAGUGGUCAGGAUGAUUAUUGGGCCUAAAGCAUCCGUAGCCGGCUCUGUAGGUUUUCGGUUAAAUCUGUACGCUCAACGUACAGGCUGCCGGGAAUACUGCAGAGCUAGGGAGUGGGAGAGGUAGACGGUACUCGGUAGGAAGGGGUAAAAUCCUUUGAUCUAUUGAUGACCACCUGUGGCGAAGGCGGUCUACCAGAACACGUCCGACGGUGAGGGAUGAAAGCUGGGGGAGCAAACCGGAUUAGAUACCCGAGUAGUCC
rnacentral:rRNA from 1 species